rnacentral:rRNA from 1 species
GAACGCUGGCGGCGUGCUUAACACAUGCAAGUCGAACGGAUUUAAUAGAAAGCUUGCUUUCGGUUAAAUUAGUGGCGGACGGGUGAGUAACGCGUGGAUAACCUGCCGUAUACAGGGGGACAACAGUUGGAAACGACUGCUAAUACCGCAUAAGCGCACAGGACCGCAUGGUCUGGUGUGAAAAACUCCGGUGGUAUACGAUGGACCCGCGUCUGAUUAGCUAGUUGGUGAGGUAACGGCCCACCAAGGCGACGAUCAGUAGCCGGUCUGAGAGGAUGAACGGCCACAUUGGGACUGAGACACGGCCCAGACUCCUACGGGAGGCAGCAGUGGGGAAUCUUCCGCAAUGGACGAAAGUCUGACGGAGCAAUGCCGCGUGAGUGAUGAAGGUUUUCGGACCGUAAAGCUCUUUUGUUUAUGACGAAUGUGCAUGAUGUGAAUAAUGUUGUGUAAUGACGGUAGUAAACGAAUAAGCCACGGCUAACUACGUG